CACGUAGGGGGCAAGCGUUGUCCGGAUUUAUUGGGCGUAAAGAGCUCGUAGGUGGUUCGAUAAGUCGGGUGUGAAACCUCCAGGCUCAACCUGGAGACGCCACCCGAUACUGUCGUGACUAGAGUCCAGUAGGGGAGCGUGGAAUUCCUGGUGUAGCGGUGAAAUGCGCAGAUAUCAGGAGGAACACCAGCGGCGAAGGCGGCGCUCUGGGCUGGCACUGACACUGAGGAGCGAAAGCGUGGGGAGCGAUCCGG
rnacentral:rRNA from 1 species